rnacentral:lncRNA from 1 species
GUCAGAGGUAAACAAAAAUCUGGCUAUUGAUUGAGAAAACGACUUCUUCAAUCUUAUACGUGGAUUCAUUAUUAUUCGGUGGAUACCGAUUUUUGUGGAUUUCGUUGGUUAAGGUGAACCACGAAAUUAAAUGUUCCAUGAAUGACAAAUUUCGUCAAAAUCUCAAAAUUAAAUAUCCAUCAACAUGUCAGUUUUUCUUAAUCCAGAAAAUUGGUACCC